rnacentral:lncRNA from 10 species
ACAAGAACCCAGGCGGGGCCGGCGAGCAGGUGACCUCCGUCCCUACCGGGAGGACCAGGGCGGGCCGGCGAGGUCGAGGGGGACCCGCGGGUCUGAGGGAGGACGGAGUGGGGGAGUGCUGAGGGAGGACCCGGGGUGGGGAGCUGAGGGAGGAUCCGCAGGGCUGAGGGAGGAUCCAGGAGAGCUGAUAGAGGUCCCGGAGGGCUGAGGGAGGACCCAGGGGUCCUGAGGGAGGACGCAGGGGGCUGAGGGAAGACGCAGGGGGGCUGAGGGAGGAUCCUCGGAGCUGAAGGGGCAUCAGCUGGGCUGAGGGAGGACCCAGGGGGACUGCGGGAGCACCCGGGCGGGGGCUGAGGGAAGGAGGAUCCGCGGGGCUGAGUGGGCACCAGCUGGGCUGAGGGAGGAUCCAGGGGGAGCUGCGGAAGGAUCUGCGGGGCUGAGAGAGGAUCUAGAAGGGGUGAGAGAGGUCCCAGGAGGCUAAGGGGGGAAUCUGCAGAACUGAGGGAGGUCCCAGGGGGCAGUGAGGGAGGAUCCAUGGGCGCUGAGGUGGGAAUCUAGGGAGGCUGAGGGAGGAUCUGUGGGGAUGACGGAAGUUCAAGGGGGGCUGAAGAGGCACGCAGCGGGCUGAGGAGGACCUGAGAGGCUGAAGGAGGAUCCGAAAGGCUGAUACAGCGGGGCUGAGGGGGGAUCCGCGGGGUUGGCGGGGGCUGAGAAAUGACCCUGUAGUUCACAGCAAAAUGGAGUAAUUUAUGUCACAACGUAACCAAAAUGGAGUGGGGAGGGCCCUAAGGAAGCAGCUGUCACGCAUUUCUGAAAUGCCAGAGAGGCUCGCUAUUACCUUGUAAACAGAGCUUAUUCCGGGCAUUUCCACUGGCCUGCAGUAUUCCAGAUGAGAUGUUUGGACCAGGGCAGGCAGAUAGCAUCGCCUAUCUGCCUCAGCGAACCAGGGUCACUUUGUGCAAUGAGUUCAUGAGACCAGGGCCUUUGUUUUGUGAAAGUUACAAAUAAGGAGUGAAAUCACUUUGUCAGGCCCAGACAAACAGGGCUGGGAAGAACAGGAGGCUCAGGCUUAGUGUCUGAGAUAAGAAUUAUUCGCAAGGACUUUCUAAAAACCCCACAAGAAACCCUUUUGUGUCAUUCACGGGUCUCCUACUUUGACAAAAUUUAGACCAUCUUUAGGACUGCAGUAAUUCAGUUAAGAUGCUCGGAAUAAACACUUGCCCAGUAAUGGCAGCGCCACCAAUGAACUGAGGACAACUUUGAGCUUUGGCGUUGGGCCCCUGGAACCAAUGAACUCUUUCUAAGCAGCUUCUGUGAACCGCUCCCUUUUCGCUGAUAAAAGUUCCCUUUUCACUGAUAAAAAGUUCCCUUUACCCUUCCCUCACUGGGAAUGCUGGUGGCUUGCUGCUGUUGAUGAAAAGAGUCAAACUUUGUAAAAUAUUUUAAGAGAUAUAUUCUGAGCCAAAUAUGAGUAACCAUGGCCUGUGACACAGCCCUCAGGACAGAGGUCCUGAGAACAUGUUCCCAAGGUGGUUGGGGUGCAGCUUGGUUUUAUACAUUUUAGGGAGGCAUGAGACAUCAAUCAAAUACAUUUAAAACCUACAUUGGUUUGGUUCAGAAAGGCAGGACAACUCGAAGCAGGGGUCAAGGGUGCUGGCUUCCAGCUUAUAGGUAGAUUGAAAAAUUUUCUGUUUGACAAUUGGUUGAAUUUACCUGAAGACCUGGGAUUAACAGAAAGGAAUGUCUGGGUUAAGAUAAAAGAUUGUGGGUGGGGUGCAGUGGCUCACACCUGUAAUCCCAGCACUUUGGGAGGCUAAGGCAGGCGGAUCACGAGGUCAGGAGUUCGAGACCAGCCUGACCAACAUGGUGAAACCUCCUCUCUACUAAAAAUACAAAAAUUAGCUGGGCGUGGUGGUGUGUGCCUGUAAUCCCAGUUACUCAGGAGGCUGAGGCAGAAGAAUCACUUCAGCCCAGGAGGCGGAGGUUGAAGUGAGCCGAGAUUGCGCCACUGCACUCCAGCUUAGGCAAUAGAGUGAGACUCCAUCUAAAAAAAAAAAAAAAGGAAAGAAAAAAAAAUAUAUAUAUAUAUGAUUGUGGAGACCAAAGUUCUUAUUUGCAGAUGAAGCCUUCAGGUAUUAGGCUUCAGAGAGAAUAGGUUGUAAAAUGUUUAUCGGACUUAAAGUCUAUGUUGAUGUUAAUGCCAGAGAGGUAUAAUGAGGCAUGUCUGACCCCCACUUCUUAUGGCCUGAACCAGUCUUUGAGGUUAAAUUUUAAGAGUUCCAGGCCAGGCACAGUGGCUGACACCUGUAAUCCCAACACUUUGGGAGGCAGAGGUGGGCGAAUCACUUCAGGUCAGGAGUUCGAGACCAGCCUGGCCAACAUGGUGAAACCCGGUCUCCACUAAAAAAUAUACAAAAAUUAGCCAGGCAUGGUGGUGCGCACCUGUAAUCCCAGCUACUCAGGAGGCUGAGGCAGGAGAAUCACUUGAACCUGGGAGGCAGAGGUUGCAGUGAGCAGAGAUCGCACCACUGCACUCCAGCCUGGGUGACAGAGCAAGACUCCGUCAAAAAAAAAAAAUUUUUUUUAAGAGUUCCCUGGCCGAGGAGGAAGUCCAUUUAGAUGGCUGGGGAGCCUUAUAAAUUUAUUUUUUAUUUUUGGUUUACACUUGAUAAAAACUUCAGCCGAAUUAAAUUUAAAGUUUAAUUGAGCAAUGAAUGAUUCACGAAUCACGCAGCCCCCAGAAUCACAGCAGAUUCACAGAGACUCCAGCACAGCCACGUGGUGGAAGAUUCGUAGACAAAAAAAGGUAAAUGAUGUACAGAAAUUGAAAGUAAAGUACAAAACAGCUGGAUUGGUUUCAGGUUGGUGUUUGCCGUAUUUGAACACAGUUUGAACGCUCAGCAGUAUAUGAAUAGUUGAAGUGCAGCCUCUGGGAUUGGCCAAGACGCAGCUAUUGUUACAGUUGCAUACUCCUGUUAGGUUUUCAAUCUAUCUACCUAUUAAGCUAGGUUGCAGUUCAUCCACAAGGACUCAAAUAUAAAAAUAUGAAGUCCUUCUCAGGCCAUAUUUAGUUUGCUUCAGCAACUACCCUCUUUUGGUCAUUUUCUCAAUUUUGAGAGAUUGACCAAAACUUUAGUUGUUGUCACUAUCACCAUAGUAAAUGUACUUAUUUGCUCCUGAAAUCCAGUGGGAAACAGUAGAACAAUGAGUUUUCCAAAGGUAGGAACAAAGACUGAGUAGAGGGUACCUCUUUAUGCUGGAACAUCCUGUUUACAGGAGAAAAAACCUGGUCUGUUCUAGGAUUUAUAUGUAUCCUUAGUUUGAUUAUGUCACAUUUAGCAUGAGUGACUCCAUUUUAGUUUGGUUUGUCCUGUUGGGACCUAGUGCAUGAGCUUAGUCCAAAACAAUGGCCUCCCAUAAUUGUGUUUUUUAAAAAAUUCCCCCUUUUUGGUCAGGUUCUUACUUAGGUGAGAGUGUGACCAAAACUUGGGGCCUUAGCACCACUCUCUGUUACCAUCAUUUUGUGUUUCUGGUGUCAGCACAUCGUUCAUAGGUUAUGGUAUCCUCAUGGUCACAUAUUUCUUUCAGCUCUUUCAUUCCAGUUGAAGAGAGACCAUUUGACGUUCUAGAGAUAGCUGUGUGCAAUCAUUUAAAAUCUUUGAGAGAAUACAGUGCACCAGGGAGACUAUUAUUAUGCCUAUUGGGAGCAUAAUACCAAGAGUUUGGAGUAUGCUCCUUACCCAGGGUCCCCAUAAACCAAACCACCUAAAAUUAAAUAGAUUAAAGAAUGAGUGAGAUGAAGGGUCUACUUGCUUGACUAAGUGAUCUUUUCAUUAAUCUUCUACAACUGAAUUUUUAUAAUCUACAUUUAAUGUAUUCCUCCAUAGGCCACAGCUGCCAGCAGCUGCACAGGUACUUUUCUAUUUAACUAAUUCUAUUAUUUAGCAUAACUUUCACAAGAGAAUUUAAAGUCUGUUGUGUAACGAUAGUCUUUACAGUAGAAUCUGCUAGAAAGCCUAUUAUGAGGGAUAUAUUUCUAGUUAUUGCCUAUUUUAUUCUAAACGAUGGAAAAAGGACCUAACAAAUGAUGUCCUUUUAGAAAAGUGAAGGCCCCCUGACAAUGUUCUCUUUAACCCAUGAUGUGGGUUAAGAGGAGUUUUUACUGAUUAUGAGGAAAUAUAUGUACAAUUAAAGUUUUUCACCUACAUUGGGCCUUCGUCUUGUCUUUAUCAAAGUAUAAGUUUAUUCAUGUAUAAGGCUGGCUACAAAAUCCUUCACAAAUAAAAGUAUACCUUAUAACUGAACAUAAUAGAACCCCUUUUCAUUUCUAUUAUUCAUAGAGGCAUAAACAAGGAAAAAAAUAUUCAAAGAUAAGAGUCUCAUUAUAGAAGCCUUGAUCCAUGAUCAUGGGAAAAGCUGUUCACAUCAAGGAUGCCAUCUUCUUCUGGGAAGAAACUUUCUGGGUUAGUUUUACCUUAAGGAUUCCAAUGGGUGUACAGUUCCAAGAGUGUAGAGGGACCCCUUUCAGUUGUUUAUGAACCCAAGGUUCAAGGUUCCAAAGUUUUGUUGCAGUGUAGAAGGACAGUCUUUCUCUGAUGUUCUCAGAAGAGUCAGUCUUCAGGUUCUGGAUUGUGAAGGGGUUGAUUGUCCUCAGUGAACCAUAAAAAGUUUUCUUUAUCUGGUGAAAAUAUACUCUGGCAUAAUAAUUAGCUGUUAUAACAUAAAACAUGCAUUGAAAAUGACAGUGGAAUGAAAUUCAUUUAUACAUGUUUAAAUGACCCAUCAGGUAGCCAAAUGUACCUGAAGGUUUGAUUACCUUCCCAGGAAUAUGGAACCAACCAUUGGUUUUAUUUUAUUUUAUUUUAUUUUGAGAUGGAGUCUCACUCUAUUGCCCAGGCUGGAGUGCAGGGGCAUGAUCUUGGCUCACUGCAGCCUCCACCUCCCGGGUUCAAGCGAUUCUCCUGCCUCAGCCUCCUGCGUAGCUGGGACUGUAGGCACCCGCCACCACGCCCAGCUAAUUUUUACAUUUUUAGUAGAGACAGGGUUUCACCAUAUUGGCCAGGCUGGUCUUGAACUCCUGACUUUGUGAUCCACCCACCUCAGCCUCCCAAAGUGAUGGGAUUACAGGCAUGAGCCACCAUGCCCAGCUGUGUUUUUUUUUUACAAGAAUCAUCUGCUUAUUUAUUUUACAAAGUAAUUAUUUAAAUUGAGUACAUUUGGGCACAGUAGAUAUUGGACAUGAAAAGUAUUUGUAUCAGAAUGGGCAUCAGAAAAAUAGCAACUCAUCUUACACAUAAUAACUAGAAAAUAUUAUUCUGUCUGAUCAUUUAAGUGUUACAAAUCCUGAGAAUGUUAUACACUGAACAAAUUAGGUACUACCUUAAAAUUAAAUCUUGCUUGGAAAUAAUCCUUUAAAAAUGAUCUGAGGUACAAAUCAUCUAUGUAUUAAACGUGAGUCUUUGACAUUAUACAAAGAGUUUAAACAAAUAUAUAAAUUACAGGUCAGUGGCUCUUAAAAUAGCUACCAGUCAGGUUCAAGGACACACUGUUCCGCAAUUUCCCAUAAGCUGGGGUUUUCCAUUGCAGCCUCCACUUGCUCUUUGUUGUUUAUCUGCAUACUUAUAUCUUCUGUUGAGUGGGUUCCUUCAGAAAUGUAGAUUUCCAACUUAUGUUUAAAUGGUAAACACUGCUGAAGUUUUAUUCUUAAGCACAGCCCCAUAAGAAUCGCCAAAUAUCAAUGAGGUACUCUUGGUGUAAACUUGAUAAUAACCAGAUAGUCUUCUUCAUUUAUCUCCUGAACUUCCAUAUAACUUUCCGUUACCAAUUCCAGUUCUUCUAAAGUAUUGGGCUUUUCUGGGUCCCAGAUAGUUCGAAUCAAAUCAUAAACCUCUAGCACUUUCUCUUCCAUGAUCCGGGGCUGCCGGGCAGCUCCCCACUCAAAGAGGCCCGAGAGCCACAGGAUUCUGCUCAGUGUCCAGGAAAGCAGCCUCAGCUCUGCCAUCCCUGGCAACUGUGGAGGUAUUGGUUUUAAACAGUUUUCACAAUUUACAAGUUAACCACAUCAGUAUAUUAAAUUUGGGUCAUUUUAUCUUUUCCAUGAUGAAUCAUAAAAUCCAGAACCAUUAAUAACAAAAGCCUUAGAGUCUCAAGAGGGACAAGGUGGCCAUCCUGGUUCUCCAUGAGUCCAUGCUUAACACUGGACUUAUGUCCUCUUGAAUACCAGUUGUUUCUCCAAUUUAUCAUAGGUAAUUUGACUCAGACCUUGGAGUUCAAAUUGUAUAUCUAAACAAUUUUAGUAUUGGCUGGCUUAACAUGAAAAUCUGGCAAAGUAUUUUCUUGGAAUUUCAAUAAUUUUUUCUUUUUUUGAGACAGAGUCUCACUCUGUUGUCCAGGCUGGGGUACAGUGGCAUGAUGUUGGCGCACUGCAGCCUCCAUCUCCUGGGUUCAAGUGAUCCUCCUGCCUCAGCCUCCCAAGUAGCUGAGAUUACAGACUUGCACCACCAUACCCAGCUAAUUUUUGUAUUUUUAAUAGAUACAGGGUUUUGCCAUGUUGGCCAGGCUGGUCUGAAACUCCUGACCCUGUCAGGUGAUCUGCCCACCUCAGCCCCGCAAAGUGCUGGGAUAACAGGUGUGAGUCACUGUGCCUGGCCUGUAUUUAAUUUUUUCUGUUCCACUUGAGUUAGCAGUUUUAUGCAAGGGAAUUUGGUUAUUUCUGUCGUGUAUAAUAACAACAUAAUAACCAUAAUUAUGAUUGACAAUAUAUAUUUAGACAUAUUAGAAUUUUAGAAAUCCUAUAUAAUUUUGGAACAUAUAUUAUUGUCCACUAAAAUACAAACUGAAGAUUAUACAUUAUUUUUAUUUUGACAAUGCUUCUAUGUAACUUAACAUGUUAAAUAAUUCUGUUUACCUCUCUUUUGGAGGCUUUAGGGGCCCUCUGUAGCAUUCCAAAGUUAGAGGUCAGAAAAGACCAUUUUGGGGCCAGGUGUGGUGGCUCAUGCCUGUAAUCCCAGCAUUUUGGGAGGCCGAGGUGGGUGAAUCACCUGACACCAGGAGUUCGAGACUAGCCUGGCCAACAUGGUGAAACCCCGUCUCUACUAAAAACACAAAAAAUUUUCUGGGCAUGGUGGCAGGUGCCUGUAAUUCCAGCUACUCAGGAGGCUGAGGCAGGAGAAUUGCUUGAACCCAGGAGGGGGAGGUUGCAGUGAGCCAAGAUUGCACCAUUGCACUCCAGCCUAGGCAACAAGAGCGAAGCUCCAGUCAAAAAAAAGAAAAAAAAAAAGAAAGACCAUCUUGGGCUGGGUAUGGUGGCUCACACCUGUAAUCCUAGUAAUCCUAGCACUAGCACUGUGGGAGGCUGAGACAGGCGGAUCACUUGAGGUCAGAAGUUUGAGACCGCCCUGGCCAACAUGGUGAAACCCCAUUUCUACUAAAUAUACUAAAUUUACCCAAGCAUAGUGGUGCAUGCCUGUAGUCCCAGCUACUUGGGAGGCUGAGGCAGGAGAAUCACUUCAACCCAGGAGGUGGAGGUCGCAGUGAGCCAAAAUCAAACCACUGCACUCCAGCCGGGGUGACAGGGCAAGACUCCAUCUCAAAAAAAAACAAAAACAAAAAAGCCAGAGAGACAGAGAGAAAAGACCAUUUUGAAGAUGAAAUUUGAUUUUUGGAAGACUAUUAAAUAUGUUAAAGGUUUAAGGCCAGGCACGGUGGCUCAUGCCUGUAAUCCCAGCACUUUGGGAGGCCAAAGCAGGUGGAUCACCUGAGGUCGGGAGGUCCAGAUCAGCCUGACCAACAUGGAGAAACCCUGUCUCUACUAAAAAUACAAAAUUAGCCAGGCAUGGUGGUGCGUGCCUGUAAUCCCAGCUACUCAGGAGGCUGAGGCAGGAGAAUAGCUUGAACCCAGGAGGUGGAGGUUGCGGUGAGCUGAGAUCGUGCCAUUGCACUCCAGCCUGGGCAACAAGAUCGCAACUCCAUCUCAAAAAAAAAAUGUUAAAGGUUUAAAACAUUUGAUAUUAUGAACUAGAAUUCCGGUUUACCAUAAGUCAUUCAUUUAGCCAAAAUGAUGACUCAAACAUUUUUCAAAAGGCAAAAACCUUUUACUCAUUAAUAGAAAGAAGACUUACCUUUCCAAAUAAUCUGUCUUGUGUAUUCCCCCCUCCCCUUUUUUUUAGUAGUGUAUUUAAAAGGCAAACAAAAUCUUUCAUUAUCUUUCAAUAUUACAUGAAAAUUUUGUUCAACAGAGAAAGCCAAAUUUCACCCUUGCAUUAGUGUACUAUUAAUGUCAACCACAGUUUUUAAUAUAACCUCAUAGACAAAUGUAUCCAAUCUUAAUCAGUUUGACCAUAAGGUGAGAUUUUCAUAAACCUUUUAUAACCCUUUACAAAUUUUUGUUAAAAAGCAGAUUAGUGCUUUAAGAAAACCCUGUUGUACUUUUAUUUUGACGUUCAAUUUAGGGAAAAAACAAAUAAUACCCCUUUAAAUUUAGUCAAUAUUUUCACACAUAGAAUUUCUUUUACAAGGUUAAUUUUUACAAACCUUCCACGAUUUCUUUAAACCUUUAAUUUAAUUUAAUUUAAAACAAUCCCUUAACCCUCUAAAGUAGGCAAAAAUUUAUAUUCCCAUGCCCUCUUAUAAUCUCUUAACCAAAAACACAUUUCAUUUUCCUUACACACCUCGUAAAACCUAUUUUUUUCAGUAGUUUCAAUUACAUGUUAUAAUGGUAAUUCUUAGCAACUUUCACUUUUGGUGCAUAAAUUUUCUUUUACGAAUCCUUUCACAACUUACACAGAGCAUCUAUGACAUGCUUGGAUUUUCUGACUUGUCUUAAACAUCCCUCUUUUAAAUAACCAGUCAUUUUACUUCAGGAUAAGAAUUUAGCUUACAAGACCCUUUCUUAUAUAAAGUCUCUUUUCUUUACAAACUUCUUUUCAUAGCUAGGGGGCAUGGCUAAUUCCACAUAUUCCCAGGCCUUAUUUAGAAUUUAAUGUCUCCAAAAUUAUUUGAACAAUUUUCAAAAGUCAAAGCAGUAUAUGACCUUAAGGCAUUAAGGAAACCUAAUAUCUGACCUGCAUAAUUUAGACUAAAUACUAAAUAAUAAAUAUCUGACCUGCAUAAUUUAGACUAAACACUAAAUACAUAAAUUUUAGGCUAAAAUAAAUGUCUUCAUUUUAUUAAUAAUUUUUUUUCUUGGAGGCAGAGUCUCGCUCUGUUGUCCAGGCUGGAGUGCAGUGGCAUGAUCUGGGCUCACUGCAAGCUCUGCCUCCCCGGUUCACGCCAUUCUCCUGCCUCAGCUUCCCAAGUAGCUGGGACUACAGGCCUGCCACCAUGCCUAGCUAAUUUUUUGUAUUUUUAGUAGAGAUGGGGUUUCACCAUGUUAGCCAGGAUGGUCUCAAUCUCCUGACCUCGUGAUCCGCCCCUCUUGGCCUCCCAAAGUGCUGGGAUUACAGGCGUGAGCCACCGCGCCACCUGGCCUAUUUUAUCAAUAAUUUUUAAGCUGUUUUUAUUUUCCAAAGAUUACUAAAGUUACAUGAAUAAAAGGCAUUACAGUUUUUAUUUUAAAAUAUUUAAGUGCUUAUUUUUGUUUAAGCCAAUUAGAGCUCUUUUAUAUAAACAUUACACACACAACAACACAUAUAUAACUACACAGACAGACUGAAGAAGAUUACUACAGUAGUUGUAAGAUUUUUUCCCAGUUUUUAAGUUUCUUAAUUGGAUUAUUCACUUUAGGGCGGAGUCCUCGGAGGAACAGGGCCAGGAAAGGGUCUCUGGUGCCUCCUGUUUUUCCCAAGGAGCUCCAGGCUGUUAGAGCCUGAAUAUCUGCUUUUAAUUAAGCUGACUUUUAACCAUAGAACUCUUUAAUAAAGUCUUUCUAAAAUUUCUUAUUACCUGACUUUAGCCAGGCCAAAUGGCUGAUAUUUCUGGCUUUUAAACUUUACCAAAAGUAACCUCAUAGGUGCUCUGAGAAGGGAAAAUUCAAGACAGUUGGUGGAGGGGAAGAGAAUUUAAAAAUGGCAAAGGUCACCCAAAUAUUAAUCAGAAAGGUUCAUCCCUUAAUCUAGGGAUUGAACCCUGAACCCGGGCCGCCAUUCUGAAAAGAGAAAGCAUGGCCACAUAAUUACAAGGUCAAGCUCCCAAGGACAUAACUGACCAAUUUGCUGAGCCAUCUUGUAAAGUGGGCUUAUGGGCGUCCUAAGCCUGUGUUCUAUCCUAAGGUACCCCUCUUUAUGACAGAACAACACAGAAAGACACGCAAAGCACACCAGAUUUGCUACAGUUUAAGACCAGCCUCACAAAUCCUUUCUUCCAUUAAUCAAAAUUUACAGAGGAGAUAAACAGUGAUUUUUACCAUUCAUUCAAUGAGUUUGCACAGAGAGAGAGAGAGAGAUCAGAAGUCUGACUGGUAAGAAAUUCUUACCCUUUUGCCGGCAUACCAGGCUUCUGGGUUCUCUUUCCCUGAGUGGCCCUAAUGACCCAGCUGGCUGCACCAUAGUCCUGGGGGCCAAGACACAACACAAAGGAAAAUUUUCUUUUUUCAUUCUGGCCAGAGCAAAAUAUGUGUGAUAAAACACAGACAUUAGCCACUCUGCUUAGCAGCCAAUAUCAAACUGGCAAGACUUAAAUUUGCCCCCAGAUGGGCCCCAUUGUCUUUAAUCCAACCUCUGACUAGGAGUUUCAACAUAUGGUCUCUGGGCAAGAUGGUUUCCCUGAGUAACAGAAAAGAUAGGAAAGGAAAGGUAGAGAAAUAAAAGUAUUACCCAUGGCAGGAUGGGGAAGGUGAAGAGCUCAGGAAGGCCAGAGCAAGACCGACUCUUUGCAGCAAUACUGCAAAGUUCAGGCGGCCGAAUGUCAGUAGCAAAGAUGUCUUUUCCAGCAGUCCCAUCAGCUCUCAAGUUUCCCCAUUUGGGAGGAAAAAUCUCCCUAUGUGCCACUAUCCUGUACAUACAUGCCUAAUCUUGUCACCCACAACCAUCAGCAAAGAGUACAAGGCAAAUUAUUCCAAAGAGAAUAGCAGUUAACAUUCCAUAGUGCCUAACCCGUUCUUAGCCAAAAGGGACUUUACUGAGAGCCCUCAUUUUAAAAUGUACUUCAAUGUGUUGCUCAUUCAGAACAUUCCACUGUAAGUUAUCUUUAGUAAGAUUUUGCCAUUUCUGUGAGACUUUGCUGCCUCCUAGGCCUAAUGUGUAAUCCAGAAGGAACUCAGUUUUCCAGAAAUUAAGAAUCCUAUUUUUAACUAAAAUAUUGGCUUUAUUCUCAGGUUCUCUUAAUUAACUUAGCCAAUGAUUUUUCCUACUUAAGUGCGCAAGAAAAAUGAAACAAAGGGGUAGAACACAAAAAUUCCUGUGAAUUUUCAAAAGCCAAAUUUUAUAACCCCUGCAAUAUUACUGCUUACUACCAGUUUGUUUCUGACUCAGUCAUAUGUAAAAGGCCUCUAACUGGAUCAAAGCCAGUUAAUUCCCGGAUCAAAUCCAUUCCUGUACCCAGCCCAGUUUGUGUCAUGACUUCCAAACCCAGUUUGAAUCAGGAAUUUGCUCAAAGAAACUCAGAGAGCUCAAAACACAAAUCUGUGGAGCUCUGAAAUCUGAGAGCUUACCCACAAUCCUCAGCUGCUCCAAGAGAUCAGUGGACACAAGUGGGUCCUGCAGGUACCAUGCAUAUUCACUCAGCACUCCUGGGGGUUGCUAGAGGCUCUACCUCGAAUCCCACUUCUGACACAACCUGAUAAAAGAAAAACUUCAGCCAAAUUAAAUUUAAAGGAGUUUAACUGAGCAAUGAAUGAUUUGUGAAUUGGGCAGCCCCCAGAAUCACAGCAGAUUCACAGAGACUCCAGUGCAGCCACAUGGUGGAAGAAGAUUUAUAGACAAAAAAAGGGAAAUGACGUACACAAAUCGAAAGUGAGGUACAGAACGGUUGGAUUGGUUACAGGUUAGCCUUUGCCUUAUUUGAACACAGUUUGAACACUCAGCAGGGUAUGAAUGGUUGAAGUAUGGCAUCUGGGAUUGGCCCAGACUUAGCUAUUGUUACAGGCACAUACUCCUAAGUUUUCGAUCUUGUCUACCUAUUAAGCUAGGUUGCAGUUCAUCCACAAAAACUUAAAUAUAGAAGUAUAGAGCCCUCAGGCCAUAUUUAGUUCACUUUAACACACUCUUCUGUGCAUUCUGAAUUAUAAUCCUCAUUUCUUCUCAUUCCCAAGUAAACUCAACAUAUUUAGAGAUAAUUUUCUCUACUUUUUUUUUUAGGUUGACAGUUUCAAAGCAGUUUGCAGGGAUUUCUCUUUGUCUUUAAAAACUCCCUUUUGUCCUGAUUUUCCUCAGGUGGGCUAUGACUUUCGUAGAUGCUGAGUGGAUUAAAACAAAGAGUUUUUCACAUUAUACUCUCAGAACACACUUUUUUAAAAAAAAAAUCUUUAAUCAUUGGCUAUCACAACAUGCUUCUGACACCAGAUGGGGAUUUCUCCCCACACACUAAGCAAGCAAUCAGUUCUGCAGCGGAUAGCAGCUCGGUUUCCUUUGUUCAGUUCGACUCUACUUGAAUGCCAAUCACAAGCCCCAGGUUGCUUUAGCUGUAUUCUGGCCUACCAGCUAUAAAGUAUGGAUCCUAGGACCCCCUUUGGAUUUGAUUAAUUUGCUAGAGCAGCUCACAGAAUUCAAACACUUAGGUUUCCUGGUUUAUUAUAAAGCAUACAGAUGAACGGAUGCACAGGGCGAGUUAUGGGGCUGAAAGCUCCACGCUUUCUGUGGGUCAGCCACCCUCCAUGAACCUCCACGUGUUCAGCUACCCAAGCUCUCCAAACCUAGUCUUUUUGGGGUGUUUAUGGAGGCUUCAUUACUUAGGCAUGAUUGACUAAAUCACUGGCCAUAGGUACUCAGUUUAACCUUCAGUCCCUUUCCCCUCCCCAGACAUGGGGAGGUGGGGAUGAGGCUGAAAAUUCCAAUCCUGCCUUGAUCUUUUCAGUGACCAGCCCCAUUCUGAAGCUACCUAGGGGCUGCCAGCCACCAGCCAACUCAUUAGCAUACAAAAAAUCACUUACUUAUAGAGAUUUCAAGGACUUCAGGUGUUGUAUGCCAGGAAAGACCUUUCACCCUCAAGAUUUGCUGAAAAUCAUCUGACAAAACAGCGAUGAAUAUAUAUGACACACAAAUUUAUUAAUAUGAUGGGAGAAAAUCUCAGAGUGACUACCCCACCACUGAGUGGGGUACAGAUGGUUACUUGCCCUUAAGGGCAAGGGAGAUGGGGAAGCAUAAAUGAUUUUAGGAGCUCAGUAAAUGAUUUUUAGGGGAGUUCAAUGGGCUUGAAGAACAUACAAUGGCCUCCACGAAGUCUGUUGGGCUCAGAGGGUAGACGGUGGUUUGUGACAUCUGUCCAGGUGGACUGACUUCAGACUUUCUCCCUGCAAUAUGAAUUCAGUUAAUAAAAACUCAGGGAAGGGACCAGAGAUAAUUGUUUCCUUCUUUAGGCAGAUAAGGGAGCUUCAGAGAACAACUUUAUCCUGUGCUUUGGGAGAGACAGAGAAUUGGGAGACAUGAGGUGGGGAAGGUCAGAGAGACCUUGCAGCUUCUUCAUUUCUGCAUGUCAAAGCGCCAUAUUUUGGGGAUAUCUGUUUCUGAGCCCCCAAAAUGGAGACAAAGCCUAAAUAUGUAUAUUUCACAAUAUCAUACAUGCAUACCUUUGGUUGCAAUCUUUUGCUAUUCUCAAAUAAAAUGUUUUCUUUUAGGAAGCCAGUCUUUCUAAGGCUGACAACCCAAGGGGGUGGCAUGGGUUGACUUAAGCCAGGCCUGCACAGUGGUGACCUAAGUCACUGCAGGGGCAAGUGGGGUGGGCCAGUGCAGAGCUGUGACAUAAGCAGGUGACUUUCCCUAUCAGAACUUUCAGUUAAGUCACUUCCAUGGAAGAAGGGGCUCUUCUAUGAAGAGCCUCUGUAACAGUACUGACUCCAUGUUAGAGGAAAGCUUGCUUGCUUGAAUACAAUUAUUGCUUUGCUUGAGUCUUUAGAUUAUUCACUAAAAACAGCCUCAGAAAAAGAGGACCUUCAACAGAGAUUUUUUAAAAUGUGCCAACCAACAGCUCUGGGAAUGAAUUGGCCGGCCUGACCAUACCCACAGAAGGCCACAAAGCAUUGACCAAGAAGGCAAGGAUUAAAUGCCCACCUGAGAAUGCCCACGUUUCACAAGAAUGUUUUCAUUAUUCUCCCUAAUUUCCCUUAAAAACCCCUGAUUUAGAAGCAUGACUCAGAAAGGUGAUCUUUGAACCCUAGUUCACUGCCUUCCCUGGGUUGCUGGCUUCUUGAAUAAAGCUAACUUUCCUUUCACCAAAGCUUGUCUCUUGAGUUUUUGCCUUUCAAGCUACAAGUGGCCCAGACCUGAGUUCAGUUACACCUCUGCUAGCAACAGCCAGCACCACCAAUGAACAAACACUGCCUGCAAUAAGCCCCUGUGAACAGUAAUUUAUGUUUCAAAAUAUCUUACAUGCACUUACUCUUUUUUGCCUUCAAAAGCUUCCUCUUGCCCCAACCCCUCAAAUAUGCUUAUGGUCCACAAAAGCACAUGCAUCCCAGAUUGCAAUUCCUUGGCUAUUAGCAAGUAAACUCUUUGUUUUGAGAACUGGUCUCUCUUGCUCAUUUUGAUACUGUAGGUAGUUAGGCAGACAUGAGCAGGGCAGGAGAGGCCCUCCCCCAAACCAGGAAUGUCAGACAAUCACCAGGUGAUAAUCAGGCAGUUGCUAAACUGUUGCUUUAAAAUAAUUGAUUGCAGCUGGUGCCAGGGAAAGCUGUGUCCUAAUAGAUAGAUAACACCUGAAGCUGUUAAUCAGCAGCUUCCAAAUAAGAUCUUAGGAGUUGGGUGAGUGGGGUCAAGCAUGAGCACUAAGAGGCAAAAUGGCAGAGUUUAACUGGUGUAUGACCUUCCUCUAGGAACACUCAACUGGUAAGGGAAGAAUGCCUCAGAUGAGCAUGCAUACAACUCCAGUAAACACACUGUGCAUGUGGCCCCUCCCAAGUGCUGGCAGGCCACUGAGCAUGUAGACCGCCCACCCUAAGGGAAGAAUCAGGGGAGAAGAGAUGCAAGAUCUCAGAAACAUGCCAAUGUAUAAGACCCCAAGUCAAAGGUCAAAUCGUGCACUUGAAUCUCUCAAGUUGCCCUCAUGGUCCUCUUUCGAGUGUACUUUACUUCCUUUCGUUCCUGCUCUAGAACUUUUUAAUAAUAAACUUUCAUUCCUGCUCUAAAAUUUGCCUUGGUGUGUCAAGAAUUCAGGUUGGUGCAGACCCAUACAGAUUCACCACUGCUAACAAUUUCAGGUUGACACAGAAAGGAGGAGCUUUUCCCAGAUCGGCAACCUCUGGAACCAUAUGCAGUACCCACCUGAGUCCAUUGCACUCUCAGCUUCCAUGAGUAAUCUUUAUUCUGUGUGGUUUAGUUCUAUCUUGUAUUCAAACUCCCUUUUGGUUGAACUCUCUGACUUUAUUCAGGAUUUGUUUCUAUUGACACUGCGUCCUUUCUUGUGUGUUCUGCACUGGAACAGCCUACAUGCAAAAGGCCGGGGGAGCUGAGAGGCUGAAGAAAGAGGCUGAAAAAUCUGAAAUCUCAGAAAAAAAAAUUUGAUAGAGACUUAUGUACAAAAGCCAUGACUCAGGCAGCCUGCAGACAGUGGAUCCCUGCUCUGUUACCCCCCAGACCCAGGCCUUCAUAAGGAAGGAAUAUGUAGGGCAAUUGAAGUCAACCCCGCAGGGAAAGACAAGAAUUUUCCAAAAGGCAGGAUUUAUGAUCAUGUUUAUGAUAAUGUGAAGAGAUUGUUUUGACAUAUAGCAGGAUGUGCGGUGAGUCCACACUCCUACACGUCCUAGAACUGGGGUUAAUCAGAAGUGAGCAUGGAAGACUAGCAUCCAAGAUGGAGGUGCUUUAGCCUGCACAUGGUGAGUAUUCUUUUGGUUUCAUUUUUGGCUGCUUGCAUGCAAAUUAGACCUUUUCCUCUUGUUUUCAUUGUUUCUAAACAUCGUUUGAGAGCAAAAUAACACAACAUUGUUGUACACGGUUGAACACUUAAGAGCCACUGGGGUUCUCACCACCAUUUUAUAACAGAUUCGAGUCUCCAAAGUCAAAGACUCCUUUGAAAGGACAAACUGGUCAGAUACAGGCAAUAUUACCACUGGGGGCAUACCAGUUUCAAGAAAAUUUCUGUGUAACAAGGGCUCCGUGGUCACAGGUCAGACAACUUAGGGCAAAGGCCAUCCACCAAGCAAAACAAGUAUCCUGUGAAAGGCAUACUUGUGAAAGCAGAACACUUUGUUCAAGAGUUAGUUUCCUCAAAGGACCAAUAGGAUUUUCUUUUUGCUUUUGAGAGAUUAAGAAAGAGAAUGGGAUUCCCAAAUUCUAAAGCAUGCAGGGCAACCCUCCUUCAGGACCCCAGCCAGCUCCAUGUCCAGACAUUCAGGAUCACCCUUGUGCACCCUUUUAAACCAAUGGGCAAAUUACACUAAGGAUAAUUUGGAGCUCCAAUGGCCAUUUGCAGAUCAAACUUCUGAAGCUUACUUUUCUGAGAACUAAAUUAGGAGACCAUGGCUAUAGGGUCAGUCUUAAUGGGAGACAUAUUACAAUUGGCAUCUUGAGGCUUCAAAUCACAUUCAGGACUCAAAAAUUACCUCUAUACAAAACACUGUCUCAAAGCCAGUUGAGACAAGUAAACAAUUAAAAGAGGCAAAAAAAAAAAAAAAAAAAAAAAAAAAAAAAAAAACCUUAGAGGACCAGACUCUCUCCUCCCUGGAACCUCCUCCCCGACUUCCUACAGCCCUUCCUAUGAGCACUGAUGACCCAGCUAAAUCCCAAGUCUCCUAUGUUCCUUUGACCAAGGCUUGGACUAAGGCUGAACUCGGAGCCAUUGCCAAGGAAUUCCUAAAAGUUACUGAAGACUGUAACUCAUUUGCUGAUGAAUUCAACAUGGUAAUCCAGGCCUAUCAGUCUGGCUUUCCCAGUCUAUAACAGCUGCUUCAUACACUUGUUGAUGAAGGCCAAGCCCAACAUUGGAUGGCUAAAGCUAACUGGACCCCACCUGAACUAGACAAACGCCCCAAUACUGGGAACAAGCUCACAAUCUAAAGACCCACAGAGCUAUUCUUAAGUUUUCCUUAAAGCCAUAGACUGGAACAAGAUUCAACUUGUACCCAAAACCAAAUGAACAAGUUCAGAAUUAUUACAGUGUUACAGUUGACUCCGCAUCAUCUUUAAGGACAAUUCUAGACUUCUGUAAAUGUUUAUUCUACCCAAGUAGCCUUUAAUUCUAUGUUUGUGAAUGGC